rnacentral:misc_RNA from 1 species
UAAAUUCUUAUAAGAUGAAUAUUGCAUUAAUGAUAUUUGUAUAAAUUAUUCUUCAUUUUCUUCUAAUGUAUUGGUUAUUAAAUUAAUAUCAUUUUCUAAUGUAUUAGUUAUUAAAUUAAUAUCAUUUGAUAGGUUUGAGAGAAAAUCUUCUUAAUUGGAUAAUGUAUUUUUUAUUUACAUAAGAUGGUGGCUAAACAAUUUCCUGGAUAACCCAUUUGAUAUCAAUUCUGUAUGCUUACCUUGUAUGAAGCAUUGUCUAAAGUUGCCUCCAUUUCUCAAGGUUUUGAGCUUUUCAUCAAAACACAAUUUAAAACAUAUGUUGAAAGGGUGAGUGACUGCAUACUUAAUAAAGGACUAUUAAGGGAAAAAAGAUAAAUGGUUAAAAUUGAGAGGAUGGAUAUUAUAAUUUUUUUAUUUGCAUUAAGAGAUGGUUAGGUUAAUUUUUGAUGUGUGAUAUUGGUUUAUAUGAUUCUUAGUUUUCCUAGUAUUAGUUAAAUUAUAACUAUUGUCAUAAAUUUAUUUAUUAUAAGGAAUUAAGUAAAUAAUUUUAUAACUAUGGUAAAUAGUGAAAAGCUGGCUUUGGUUUAUAUGGUUUAUUAGUUUAUAUAGUUUAUUGGCCAAAAGGAUAGAAAAAGUCAAAUGUUUUGGCUAAUUGAUAAUUAUAUAUAAACCUUCUAAUUUUGGACAACAUAUUUUAACUUUUAAGAUUAUGAGCAAUUUUAUCCAACAUCACAAUUUUAGGAUUUUUUUUUUCUUUAACCACAACAAAAUGUAUUGACUAUCAAUUGUUUUUCUUUUCUUUUUUUUUUCCCCUCUUUUCUGCUGAAACUUACAUUUGGUCGUUCUUGACCUUCAUAUUAUGUA